ACGAACGCUGGCGGCGUGCCUAACACAUGCAAGUUGAACGGCAGCACAGGUAGCAAUACCGGGUGGCGAGUGGCGCACGGGUGCGUAACACGUAUGCAACCUACCCUAUACAGGCGAAUAACCUUUAGAAAUGAGGGCUAAUACGCCGUGGUAUUAUCUUGGGGCAUCUUGAGAUAAUUAAAGAUUUAUCGGUAUAGGAUGGGCAUGCGUCCCAUUAGUUAGUUGGUAGGGUAACGGCCUACCAAGGCUAUGAUGGGUAGGGG
rnacentral:rRNA from 1 species